rnacentral:rRNA from 2 species
ACGGAAGGCAGCAGUGGGGAAUAUUGGGCAAUGGGCGCAAGCCUGACCCAGCGACGCCGCGUGAGGGAAGAAGGUCUUCGGAUUGUAAACCUCUGUUGUAAGGGAAGAAACAAAUGACGGUACCUUACGAGGAAGCCACGGCUAACUACGUGCCAGCAGCCGCGGUAAUACGUAGGUGGCGAGCGUUAUCCGGAUUUACUGGGUGUAAAGGGUGUGUAGGCGGGAUUGCAAGUCAGAUGUGAAAAUUAUGGGCUCAACUCAUAACCUGCAUUUGAAACUGUGGUUCUUGAGGGUCGGAGAGGUAACUGGAAUUCCUGGUGUAGCGGUGAAAUGCGUAGAUAUCAGGAGGAACACCGGUGGCGAAGGCGAGUUACUGGACGAUACCUGACGCUGAGACACGAAAGUGUGGGGAGCAAACAGGAUUAGAUACCCUGGUA